rnacentral:rRNA from 2 species
UACGAGUGCCCCAAGCGUUAUCCGGAAUUAUUGGGCGUAAAGGGUGUGUAGGUGGUCUUGUUAGUCUUCUGUGAAAUUCUUCGGCUUAACCGGGGGUCCGCAGGGGAAACGGCAGGACUAGAGGAUGCGAGAGGUGUGCGGAACUCAUGGUGUAGGGGUGAAAUCCGUUGAUAUCAUGGGGAACACCGAAAGCGAAGGCAGCACACUGGCGCACUCCUGACACUGAAACACGAAAGCGUGGGUAGCGAAUGGG